UACGUAGGGUGCGAGCGUUAAUCGGAAUUACUGGGCGUAAAGCGUGCGCAGGCGGUCUGUUAAGACCGAUGUGAAAUCCCCGGGCUUAACCUGGGAACUGCAUUGGUGACUGGCAGGCUUUGAGUGUGGCAGAGGGAGGUAGAAUUCCACGUGUAGCAGUGAAAUGCGUAGAGAUGUGGAGGAAUACCGAUGGCGAAGGCAGC
rnacentral:rRNA from 1 species